GAUGAACGCUGGCGGCGUGCCUAACACAUGCAAGUCGAGCGAUCUCUUCGGAGAGAGCGGCGGACGGGUGAGUAACGCGUGGGUAACCUGCCCUGUACACACGGAUAACAUACCGAAAGGUAUACUAAUACGGGAUAACAUACGAAAGUCGCAUGGCUUUUGUAUCAAAGCUCCGGCGGUACAGGAUGGACCCGCGUCUGAUUAGCUAGUUGGUAAGGUAAUGGCUUACCAAGGCAACGAUCAGUAGCCGACCUGAGAGGGUGAUCGGCCACACUGGAACUGAGACACGGUCCAGACUC
rnacentral:rRNA from 1 species